GCUCUUGUAGCUCAGUUGGUUAGAGCACUCGUUUAGUAAGCGGGAGGUCUGGAGUUCAACUCUCAAUAAGAGUA
rfam:Ipomoea nil DNA, scaffold: scaffold2165, cultivar: Tokyo-kokei standard.